rnacentral:rRNA from 1 species
UACGGAGGGUGCAAGCGUUAUCCGGAUUCACUGGGUUUAAAGGGUGCGUAGGCGGGCAGGUAAGUCCGUGGUGAAAUCUCUGAGCUUAACUCAGAAACUGCCAUGGAUACUAUUUGUCUUGAAUAUUGUGGAGGUAAGCGGAAUAUGUCAUGUAGCGGUGAAAUGCUUAGAUAUGACAUAGAACACCCAUUGCGAAGGCAGCUAACUACGCGAUAAUUGACGCUGAUGCACGAAAGCGUGGGGAUCAAACAGG